rnacentral:SRP_RNA from 2 species
GCUGGGCAUGGUGGCGCGUGCCUGUAAUCCCAGCUCCUCAGGAGGCUGAGACAUAAGAAUUGCUUGAACCCAGGAGGCGGAGGUUGCAGUGAGCUGAGAUCAUACCACUGUACUCCAGCCUGGGCAACAGAGCGAGACUCUGUCUCAA